CCUACGGGUGGCAGCAGUGGGGAAUAUUGCACAAUGGGGGAAACCCUGAUGCAGCGACGCCGCGUGAGUGAAGAAGUACUUCGGUAUGUAAAGCUCUAUCAGCAGGGAAGAAAAUGACGGUACCUGACUAAGAAUCCGCGUCUAAAUACGUGCCAGCAGCCGCGGUAAUACGUAGGGGGCAAGCGUUAUCCGGAUUUACUGGGUGUAAAGGGAGCGUAGACGGCAGAGCAAGUCUGAAGUGAAAGCCCGCGGGCCAACUGCGGGACUGCUUUUGAAACUGGCCGGCUAGAGUGCGGGAGAGGUAAGCGGAAUGCAUGGUGUAGCGGUGAAAUGCGUAGAGAUUAGGAGGAACACCAGUGGCGAAGGCGGCUUACUGGACUGUAACUGACGUUGAGGCUCGAAAGCGUGGGGAGCAAACAGGAUUAGAUACCCUGGUAGUC
rnacentral:rRNA from 1 species